GGCAGUUUGCACAUCUUGAGGAAAAUGGUAGUAAAAGUGGGCCGAUAAUUCCACUUGAAAGAAAACAUGUAUCUCUUCCUAGGUCUACAAUUAUACAUUCAAACACAAUUCCUCCCAGAGAACAAAAUAUUGCUUCUUUGAGAGAUCGGCAGGCUGCGGAGGAAACAUACAGCAAAAAUUCCCGAGAUUCUGAGGGAACUCAUGUAAAUAUAUCAACCCUGCAUGCGCCACAAAGAAUUCCAAUGGCUAAACCAGGAAAGGUUGUGGGGCCAGUUGUUCCAUACGACAAUGGAAGUAUUAUGAAAGAUGCCUAUGACCCAAGAACAUUUAUUAGAGGCUCGUUAGUUCCUCCUCAGGUGAUCCCUCCUGCAUAUGGCUACUGCAAAUCUAGUACAGGGAAGCAAGAUAGAUCUGCCUCAGAAACCCAGAGGGAAUUGUCUUCACAAAAGCAAGUCCAGCAAUGUAGCAUAGCUACUAAAUAUGCACCAGAUAUAGCUAUCAACAUCGACUCCAACCCCUUUUUUCUGACCCGGGCAGGAAUGAAUAAGGUCGAUGACCAAAUUUCAAUAAAUACAAAUUUGCUGCAUGCCAAGGCUCAGCACGGUGGGAUCAGCACUGCUGUAACUGCCCCGGCUUCUAACAGAAAAGUUGGCUCAGUUCAAUAUGGUAUGACAAAGAUGCAAGCAGUGGAAGGAGUCGCUGUUCUUGUGCUAAACGGACAGAAUCCAUGUACAGGAAAUUACAAAACUAAAGAAGAGCGAUGGAUGGAGCUUUUUUGCGAGAGCCAGUCGAGUUUAGGCACUAGGUUUGGUCAUGAGAAAAUACAUACUGGAUGUCGUGAAAAAGAUGUACAUAUAUUAGAUAAAACUCUACAUGAGAACUCAAUUUUUAUAAAAUAAAAAUCCCAAUAAAGCAAC
rnacentral:misc_RNA from 1 species